UACCAGCUCUCCGAGUGGUGUGGAUGUUUAUUGGGCCUAAAGCAUCCGUAGCUGGCUGGGCAAGUCCCCUGUUAAAUCCACCGAUUUAAUCGUUGGUGUGCGGGGGAUACUGUUCGGCUAGGGGACGGGAGAGGCCGACGGUAUUUUCGGGGUAGGGGUGAAAUCCUAUAAUCCCGGGAAGACCACCAGUGGCGAAGGCUGUCGGCUAGAACGCGCCCGACGGUGAGGGAUGAAAGCUGGGGGAGCGAACCGGAUAGAUACCCGGGUAGUCCCAGCUGUAAACGAUGCAGGCUAGGUGUUUGGGCGGCCACGUGCCGCUCUAGUACCGCAGAGAAGUCGUUAAGCCUGCCGCCUGGGGAGUACGGCCGCAAGGCUGAAACUUAAAGGAAUUGGCGGGGGAGCACCACAAGGGGUGAAGCUUGCGGUUU
rnacentral:rRNA from 1 species